GAUGAACGCUAGCUACAGGCUUAACACAUGCAUGUCGAGGGGAAACGACAUCGAAAGCCUGCUUCCGAUGGGCGUCGACCGGCGCACGGGUGAGUAACGCGUAUCCAACCUGCCCACCACUUGGGGAUAACCUUGCGAAAGUAAGACUAAUACCCAAUGAUAUCUCUAGAAGACAUCUGAAAGAGAUUAAAGAUUUAUCGGUGAUGGAUGGGGAUGCGUCUGAUUAGCUUGUUGGCGGGGUAACGGCCCACCAAGGCGACGAUCAGUAGGGGUUCUGAGAGGGAGGUCCCCCACAUUGGAACUGAGACACGGGCCAAACUCCUACGCGAGGCAGCAGUGAGGGAUAUUGAUCAAUGGACGAGAGUCUGAACCAGCCAAGUAGCGUGCAGGAAGACGGCCCUAUGGGUUGUAAACUGCUUUUAUAAGGGAAUAAAGUGAGUCUCGUGAGACUUUUUGCAUGAACCUAAUGAAUAAGGACCGGCUAAUUCCGUGCCAGCCGCCGCAGUAA
rnacentral:rRNA from 1 species